AAGGAGAAGGCCGAAAAUCCGGAAAAGAGUAGGUG
rnacentral:ncRNA from 1 species